CAUGGUUGUUUAAUUCCAUAAUACAUCCACGCGCUCGCUGGUGCAGAGCUCGUGCGUUAACGCUAUUCCCGAAGGUCACUACGUAUCUUUUAUAGCGGUAAUGCUGGUUUUGCUAAUGAAGCCACUCACGACAGUUUCUGAAUAAACUUAAGUUUCAGAAGAACUUAGUCGUGCUCCUGGUCUUGUCAGGCAGAAGAUACCGGCAGCCACACAGAUUUCCAGGGCCACUCAAGAUGUCAGCCCAAAUCAUCAGCGGGAAGGAGGUUUCAGCGCAAGUGAGGGAGCGUCUGAAGAAAGAUGUCGAAGAGAUGAAACUUCAAGAUCCUAACUUCAGACCUGGUCUAGUAGUUUUACAGGUCGGUGACCGUGAUGAUUCAAAUCUCUACAUCAGCAUGAAGUUAAAGGCAGCAGCAGAGAUUGGAAUAAAUGCCACACACAUGAGACUCCCCAAGACGGCAACAGAGGAGGAGGUACUUCACGCUAUCACAGAGGUGAAUGAGAACUCUGCUGUUCACGGCCUCAUAGUGCAGCUGCCGUUGGACUCGAUUCACAAGAUGGACACAGAGAAGGUGACCAACGCUGUGGCCCCAGAGAAGGACGUGGAUGGACUAACUAGUAUAAAUGCAGGGAAGCUGGCUCGUGGUGACCUGGGUGACUGUUUCAUCCCCUGCACACCAAAUGGCUGCAUGGAGCUAAUCCGACAGACCGGCGUGUCAGUGGCAGGAAAACGAGCAGUAGUGAUUGGUCGCAGUAAGAUUGUGGGCGCCCCCAUGCACGACCUGCUGCUGUGGAGCCACGCUACUGUCACCACCUGCCACUCGAAAACAGCUGAUCUGCCUGGAGAGGUGGGACAGGCAGACAUUCUGGUCGUCGGCAUUGGGAAAGCAGAGAUGGUGAAAGGAGAGUGGAUCAAAAAAGGAGCGGUGGUUAUUGACUGUGGCAUCAACCAUAUACCAGAUGAGACGAAGUCCAGUGGGAAGCGGGUGGUGGGGGAUGUUGACUUCGCCUCAGCUAAGGAGCAGGCCGGCUUCAUCACCCCUGUGCCCGGUGGGGUGGGACCCAUGACUGUGGCCAUGCUGAUGUCGAACACAGUGCUCAGUGCCAAGCGUUUCCUGGAGAGACACCAGCCGGGGAAGUGGAACAUAUCUUACAACAAGCUCAGCCUCCAGAAGCCCGUGCCAAGUGACAUAGAGAUCUCUCGUUCCUGUGUGGCCAAGCCGAUUGACUGUCUAGCCCGAGAGGUGGGUCUCCUCACCGAUGAGGUGGAGCUCUAUGGCAAGAGUAAGGCCAAGGUCCAGCUGAGCGUUACCAAACGCCUGCGUAACCAUCCAGACGGCAAAUAUGUGGUGGUCACUGGCAUUACGCCCACCCCUUUGGGGGAAGGAAAGAGCACCACCACCAUUGGCCUCGUUCAGGCUCUGGGAGCCCACAUGAAGCUCAACGUCUUUGCUUGUGUGCGGCAGCCUUCACAGGGGCCGACGUUCGGCAUUAAAGGUGGAGCUGCAGGUGGUGGAUAUUCCCAAGUCAUUCCAAUGGAAGAGUUCAACCUUCAUCUCACUGGGGACAUUCACGCCAUCACAGCUGCCAACAACUUGGUGGCUGCUGCCAUCGACGCCCGUCUAUUCCAUGAGGCUACACAGUCUGACAAGGCUCUGUUUAACCGGCUGGUUCCACUCACUGGAGGACAGAGGAAGUUCUCUCCCAUUCAGAUCAACAGACUAAAAAAACUGGGCAUAGAGAAGACUGAUCCCUCCGCUCUCACAGAGGAAGAGAUCACCCGCUUUGCCCGCCUGGACAUAGAGCCCAGCUCUGUCACCUGGCAGAGAGUGUUGGAUACAAAUGAUCGAUUCCUUAGAAAGAUCACUAUCGGCCAGUCGCCCACUGAAAAAGGAUACACAAGAGAGGCUCAGUUUGACAUCACUGUGGCCAGUGAGAUCAUGGCGGUGCUGGCCCUCACCAGCAGCCUGGAGGACAUGCGGCAGCGUCUGGCUAGGAUGGUUGUGGCCACCAGCCGGAGCGGACAGCCUGUCACCACGGAGGACCUGGGCGUGAGUGGGGCUCUGACUGUGCUAAUGAAGGAUGCUAUCAAGCCAAACCUGAUGCAGACCCUAGAGGGAAACCCCGUGUUUGUCCACGCCGGCCCCUUUGCCAACAUCGCCCAUGGCAACUCCUCCAUCCUGGCUGAUAAAAUCGCUUUGAAGCUGGUUGGACCUGAAGGCUUUGUGGUGACUGAGGCUGGUUUUGGUGCUGACAUUGGCAUGGAGAAAUUCUUCAACAUCAAGUGUCGUUACUCAGGCCUCAGGCCUCACGUGGUGGUGUUGGUGGCAACGGUUCGAGCCUUGAAGAUGCACGGAGGAGGGCCAACGGUCACUGCUGGGAUGCCUCUGCCGAAGGAAUAUAUUGAGGAGAACCUUGAGCUGCUGGAGAAGGGAUGCAGCAACAUGAGGAAGCAGAUAGAAAACGCUCAGCACUUCGGUGUUCCUGUGGUGGUCGCCGUCAACGCUUUCAAGACCGACACCGAGGCCGAACUGGACUUGAUCUGCCGCAUGGCCAAGUCUGCAGGCGCCUUCGACGCAGUGCAAAGCUCUCACUGGGCUGAGGGCGGCGCCGGAGCAGUGGCACUGGGUCAAGCGGUCCACAGGGCCUCAGAAGCCCCUAGCAGCUUCAAGUUCCUCUACGACUUGGAGCUCCCUAUCGCUGACAAGAUUCGAAUAAUUGCCCAGAAAAUCUAUGGCGCAGAUGAUAUCGAGCUGCUGCCAGAGGCCCAACACAAAGUGGAGCUUUACACUAAGCAGGGCUUUAGCAGUCUCCCAAUCUGCAUGGCAAAGACUCACCUGUCGCUCUCUCAUGAGGCAGACAGGAAGGGCGUCCCCACCGGGUUCGUCGUGCCGAUUCGGGACAUCCGGGCCAGUGUGGGCGCUGGUUUCCUGUACCCGCUGGUCGGCACGAUGCCCACCAUCCCUGGUCUGCCCACCAGGCCUUGUUUCUAUGAUAUCGACCUGGACCCUGAGACUGAGCAGGUUAACGGCCUCUUCUAGAAACAAGCAUACAGCUGUGACCCAGCGCCCUCAAUCAACUGUGAUGGACUAAUAACUGGUUGCAGCCUAUUUCUUAGACACUGAUCUGUCCCAGAACUUCCACCGACCAAAAUGUGCAGUAAAGUUUCUCCUGGAGAAAGAGCAGAAGCAAACAUCAGAACGUGUCACCGCAUACAGUCCGACCCACAGCCCCCGAUUCAUACCUGGAGCAGAAGUCUGUGCUUUGGUUCUGAUGUGUCUGCUCAUUCUGUAU